GUGAAUCAUCGAAUUUUUGAACGCAAAUUGCACUCUUUUCUGAGAGUAAGCCUGUUUGAGGGUCAGACUAAAAAAAAUCGACAACGUAGCUGUUACGCGGUAACAUUCGCCGGCAAUUGGGUCAAUAUAAACGUUUUGGUUUAAGUGGCAUAAAAUUUUCUUAACGAUUCCAAGAACGUUUUUAAGAUUUUAUUUUUUUAUAAGACUA
rnacentral:misc_RNA from 1 species